rnacentral:lncRNA from 1 species
GGCCGGAACCAGAGACGAAGCCGGAACCACCGACGAGACCGAGCAGGCGCCGGACCACCAGGGGCUGAGACGAGCGUGGCCGGGACCGGGCCACCAGGAGCUGAGGCAGACGCGAUCUGUGCCAGAUCACCAGGAACCGAGGCAGACGCGAUCUGUGCCAGAUCACCAGGAACCGAGGCAGACGCGAUCUGUGCCAGAUCACCAGGAACCGAGGCAGACGCGAUCUGUGCCAGAUCACCAGGAACCGAGGCAGACGCGAUCUGUGCCAGAUCACCAGGAACCGAGGCAGACGCGAUCUGUGCCAGAUCACCAGGGACUAAGGUAGACGUGGUCGGACCACCAGGAGCUGCACCUGCACACACUGACCCAAAAAACACGGGAACCAGAAACGGGCCGACCACCUCCUGCCCACCGGGGACUGGACCGCCAGGAGCUGAAGCUGGGACGACCUCCUCAUCCUGGAGGCCAGCAGGAAACAAAGCUGGACCGACUCCCUCCUGGAGGCCGGCACAAACCGGAGCUGGAACGACCCCCUCCUGGAGGCCGGCAGGGACUGCAGCAGGAGCCGCGGCAGGAGCGACCCCCUCCUGGAGGUCGGCAGGGACUGCAGCGGGAGCUGCAACAGGAACGACCCCCUCCUGGAGGCCGGCAGGAACUGCAGCAGGCGCGACCCCCUCCUGGGGAUCUUUGGGAACCGCAGCAGGCACUGCGACGGGUGCGACCCCCUCCUGGGGAUCUCUCCGAGGCCGACAGUGGCAGGAACUAGAACGGCGUCCUCGCUGGAGCCGACAGGAACAGGAACUAGAACGGCAUCCGCACAGGAGCCGACAGGAACAGGAACCACCUCAACAGGUAGGUCGACAAGGACUGAGGCCUGGUUUGGCUGGCAAGGGGUGCCCACUAGCUGGCGUAAAGCUGGAGCUUGAGCGUGACGUGGCUGAGCUGAGGCUUGAGCUUGAGCGUGACGUGGCUGAGCUGAGGCUUGGGCUUGAGCGUGACGUGGCUGAGCUGAGGCUUGGGCUUGAGCGUGACGUGGCUGAGCUGAGGCUUGAGCUUGAGCGUGAUGUGGCUGAGCUGAGGCUUGGGCUUGAGCUUAAGCUUGAUGUGGCUGAGCUGAGGCCAAGGCAGGACUGGGUGUGGACAGAGUCGCAUAUUGAGGCGUAG